rnacentral:rRNA from 1 species
GAUGAACGCUGGCGGCGUGCCUAAUACAUGCAAGUCGAGCGAACAGACGAGGAGCUUGCUCCUCUGACGUUAGCGGCGGACGGGUGAGUAACGCGUGGAUAACCUACCUAUAAGACUGGGAUAACUUCGGGAAACCGGAGCUAAUACCGGAUAAUAUAUUGAACCGCAUGGUUCAAUAGUGAAAGACGGUUUUGCUGUCACUUAUAGAUGGAUCUGCGCCGCAUUAGCUAGUUGGUAAGGUAACGGCUUACCAAGGCAACGAUGCGUAGCCGACCUGAGAGGGUGAUCGGCCACACUGGAACUGAGACACGGUCCAGACUCCUACGGGAGGCAGCAGUAGGGAAUCUUCCGCAAUGGGCGAAAGCCUGACGGAGCAACGCCGCGUGAGUGAUGAAGGUCUUCGGAUCGUAAAACUCUGUUAUUAGGGAAGAACAAAUGUGUAAGUAACUAUGCACGUCUUGACGGUACCUAAUCAGAAAGCCACGGCUAACUACGUG